GAGUGCUUUUAACAGGAGUGUGACACGGUCAGAUGUAUAUUUUUAAAAGAUUGCUCUGGCUAUUGUACUGAAAAUAGCUGUAGCAAAGUCGGCAGGGUUAUCAACAGAUACAAUAAUCUAGGCGAGGCGUUAAAGCAGCGGCAGCUGGGAGGAAGAGAAUCAAUAUAUUUCUGUUGUUGAGUUGAUAGGACUUGGAGGUAGAUUAGAUGCAAGUGAUAAGAAGGGAAGAGGGGUUAAAAUCAGCUCUUAGUUUUGAACAACCAGGUGAACGGUGAUACCAUCCAUGGGAAUGUAGAAGACACAGGAUAAAACCUGGCUGGGUCUCAGCAGACUAAGUCCAUGCCCAAGGAACUCUACUGAGUAAAAAUCAACGAAAAGGAUUGAGGCUGAAGAAGGAGCCCAAAUUUAGGAUAUGGUGGUUUUGUGGCAAAGGAGAAAAAGCCAGAAAAAUGGAGGAAACUCAUAAUGCCUCUUCAAGCUUAGAUGCUGCAUAAAACCUUGUUGCUUAAAUUUGGUCUGAUGACUACCCACUUCAACAUCAGUUGGGAGUGUGUUAGAAAUACAAUAUCUUGGGCCCUCUCUAGACCAACUGAAUAUGAACCUUCAUCUUAGCAGGCUCCUCAAGCUAUUGGUAGACACAUUAAAGUUUGAGAAAUACUGUGUACAUCACACUCCCUCACAGUCACUGACUUAAGUACUUCACGUGGCCAAAGCUCAAUGUGGAUCAGUGCAGUGUAUAUCCACAGGGAGAUACUGCAAGUCACAUGGAAAUGGGCAGGGAUAAAUAAUAUUUCAGGGAGCAGAACAUUUGAAAGAAUAAGACUCAUCUAUAGUCCUUAAAGCUGCAAUGUAUAACCAAUGAACUAAUUACUUCUUUUUUUUUUCACUUUAUUGGAGUAUAGUUGACUUAGAGUGUUGUGUUUGUUUCAGAGGUACAAGCAAAGUAAAUCCAUUAUACACAAACAUACAUCCAUUCCUUUUCAGAUUCUUUUCUGAUAUAAGGUUAUUACACAGGAUUGACUUCUUGAGGUAGCCCAUUCCAAUUACUGAAUAUUUCUAUUCAUCUGGUUUUCAUCCAUUGAUUCUACUUUUGCCCUUUGCAAUGAAGAAAGCAUCUACUGCUUAGCCCAUAUAACUUUUAUUAGAGUUAAAUGCACUGCCUAUAUCCUUCCCUUUCCUCAGUAUUAUCAAAGUGAAACAGACCUCCUCUCUUCAGCAUUUUUCUUGGGUUUUUCAAUCCUACUAUCUGGUAUCAUUGUUUGGUAGUCAAGCUACUCAAGUUGGAGAAAGUAGAAUUGAAUCUGACACUUUUCAAUUUGUUUAUGGGUUUAUUAAGCAAGUAUGCAUUUGUGGCAGGAGCACAUCCUGGUUUGGGGAACCUGAAGCUUAAUAUAAUUCUAGGGAUUCUUUUUAAGAAAAAGAAUGCUAAAAUACUUCAGUUUUCCAAAUUUCACUUUGGCUCCUCCAAAGGCUUUGAAAGUGACCUAUAGGAGUGAGAGCCCCUGAAAGUUGAGCAUAAUUAGUUUCACAGUAAUUAUGCCACUGAAAUUGGGAUAUAAUGUAUGAAAAAUUGAGUUGAAAUGUCCUACAGUGUCAAUACGCUUAUUUGAAAAGGUAACUCUGGAAGGGUAAUUCAGGAAGAAGAAAAAAAAUAAGGUAGGGAGGAUUGAAAAAUAGUUACCUAUAAGCUAGAAUCAGGAAUUUGAGUGAAAUGGGCAGUUAAAGCCAGAUUAAUAUCCUGUUUUUCCUUCUGUCUUUUAUCUCCCAGAAUAUGAAUAAAAUCAUAAACCAGAUAGGACCAUUAGAAAAUUCAAUAAAAUGCUAAUUAAGAAAACCAAUGAAAGAAUUUGUGUGAAUUUACACAUAUAUAUUUCCUCUUCUCUGUCAUCCA